rnacentral:misc_RNA from 1 species
CAGAAUUUUCUUUUUAUUUGCAGUAAUGCAUUUUUUUUUAUUUACCAGAAUAGUGCAUUGUUUUUGAUUCCACAGAUAUUAAUCACUACAUAUUUUUCUAUUCUCCACAUCAAUGUGAAAUCUAAUUGCCUCAAGUAGACGGUCAUCUAUAUUUACAUAACUAAGUAGCAAAUGCUUGAAUGCAUUGCAUUUUUCUUUCAAAAGUGCGUCAGCCUCAACGAAUACAUACCAGAAUCAUUAAAAGCUCGUCUGCCUGAGGAUCUGAAGACGCACAUCAUAAGCUCAUCUUUCCUAUGACAUUUUUGCUGAAAAAAGUUGGAACUUAUCUUCACUUGCACAACCAAGCAUGCCAAUCCCUUGGGUAUGUGCAUAUUUCACGUCAAGGAUAGUGUGGUGAUGCGGUUUAAGAUUCUGGUUCACUGUUAAACUUGGCAAUUCCCUCAAUCUCAAUCCAUGGGUAACUCCAUCUGCAUAAGCUAAUAAUGGGCAGCAAUUCUCCAUGUUUACAAUAGCAGACUUUACCAUUUGAACAUAACUUAAGUGUGCAGAUGUUGAUCCCAAUUUAUGAUAAAAGCUGUCAGCUACUCUCUUGACAAGAACUUGAGAUCCCAGUAUUCCUUGUCCGGGAACACUAGAUGACCCUUGAUUUGAGGAUGGCAAAUUAACUGUUGCAAUGGAUGUAUCGUAUUUGGGACGAUAUGAAGCAAGAAUGUCAUCGCUUAAGGGACCAUAAGCAAGUGACGUACAAAUGCCUUGAUUGUCCAAUCCAGGAACUGGAAAUGGCCUCUCUCCAGAGCUAGUGCUCCACACGCAUGGGCCCAAGGAGGAAGCUGUCAGCAAUUUUUGAGCAUCGUGACCCAGAAUUGGGUUAUGCACCAAGGAAUGUAUAGUAUGAAUAGGCUGGGCCGUUAGUCCAACAAUGGAUUGCAAAGGAUUUAUGGUGUGACGCAUAUCAAACACCAAGAGCAUACCAUUCUGCAAGCCAGCAUAGAUACAGUGAGGACUGUUAAGAUCCCAUGCACACGACCAAGCUGGCACCUGGAAGAAACAAUUUUUUUCAGACAAGCAGGUAAAUAAAAUUAAAAGAACUGUCAAUAUGAACAAAAUUUUAAGCUGCAACAGAUAUGAGUCAUUUGUGUAUGUGAAUGCGUGUAUGUAAACAAAUUAAAUAAAAAUUGAAUGAGCUCUCCACAUCAUGUUCUCUUCAUUCUUCCAUGAUGCAGCACCAUAAAAUAGUAAAGGAAAGAGAAUAUCAUUAAAGUCCCAGAAAAAAUAAAUAAAAGAUAGAAAACAGAGUACUGGAUUGCGGUUGACCACUGGCAGUGCCAAAUGGGUCCCUGAUUUCGGCAUAAAUAUAAAAAGAGGUGAAAAAAAAAGUAAUAUACUUGUGAGAAAGCAUUAAAAAGAUUGACCUUUUAAGAUCAUCAACUUCAUCAACUAUGUCCAACCUGGUUACAUAGUCCUCAAUCAUUUUGUGUUUGUUUCAAUUCACUUCAGAAUCUUCUAAAGUCAAUUAUUUUUACUUUCAAUUGUUUAAGUGUAAAGAUUAUGGUUCCUAGCAUCGUACCAAUGCCUAGAUAUUAUAACACCUUUAAUCAAAAGGUGCAUCUGAGUUAAUCUGUUUCUAUUGGGCAUUCAAUGGGCAUGACGCAUAACUAAAUUUGUGCAAGGUGAUAUUUCAUGUCUGUAUGAAAUAAGCAAUUAUUUGUCUUUAGACAAUCUCUCAAAAGGUUAAAUUAUCCUAUCGCCACUUACAAAGGAUCACUGACAAGGAAAGGAAAUUAAAGGCAGGAUCCUUCAUGUCCUUAAGUAUCAUCUGAUCAAAAUGCAGCAAAGCAUUGUAUGAGAGUAAACAGUAUGAGAAGUUAAUCCUUCAGAGUUCUGGUCCCUCAAAUCACAGGUGGUAACGAUGUUGUUGCUUCCCAUGCUAAGUAUUGAUAGUUUCUUCCCGAGUGAAGCCAAAAGGGUGAGUCUACCACAUGGAGAAAUUUUUAAAUCUUUAACAGCUUUUGUGCCAGGAGGAAGCUGUAUAUCCUCGUUUUCAUGAGUAUUAAUCAUAUUAAUUUUGUUGAGCAUGUGUAUUCCACCCAUCCCAGAAAUUCUUCGUGCAAGAAUCAGGUUUUGAUAAGAGACAUUCAUAUCGAAAAGUCUUGCCCCUUCUACAGCCAACUCAUACUGUCAAGGUUAACACUGUUAGAAUCAAACAUGUCGGAUGCAAACUUGUUAAAAAGAACAGUCAACAACAGUCGGUAAUCACGAACAAGGAUAACAAUAGGGGAGCCUUGAAAACCUUUACAUUACGUAAUUACCGUUAUUUGAAACCACGGUCGGUAACAAAAGAGUUGCAUUACAAACUUUUAGAAGUUUAUCUUCCAACUCUCAGCUCAUUGAAAUGUAACUAGAAAACAGUGGAAAACAGGCAUACAUACCUCUAAUAUAAAGGUACAAUGAAGAAGUUGCUGUUUAUGUAAAUUUGAACUGAAGGGAUAUUCAAAUUUUACGUUAUGAGCCUCUUUAACAUUGGCAAAUCCAAAACGUUUACUCCCCAUUUCCACAAAUGACAUGUUCCCCGUACAAGUUUGCUUCUCCUCAAGAUUGCUUAAUUCCUUGAGCAAAUUAUCUUGUAUUUUGAGUAAACUAUCUUGUAUAUGAAGCAAAUCAGCUCUCUCUGUCUUAAGGGAGCCAAUUUCAGCCUCAAGAGAUUGAACUUUCUUGUGUAGAUCUUCAUCAUUAAUUACUACUGGUGAUGCAUAGAGCUUUCUAACGUCCUUUAAUGCGCAAUUUGCAUUGCAUUGAGGACACUUAGCAGAAAUCAAAUGAGGUUGAAUCCAUCUCCUAAUGCAAGAUAAACCAUAUACAUGUCCACAAGGAAGGCAACUGACUUGGUGAUCGCCUUGUGACCCCCAGGGCUCCAUGCAAAUAGGACAACACAACCCAUCCAAAUUGGGCUCCUUCGAGACACUCUUGCUCUUGGUCUCAUCACUAGAAUCCAUCUUCUUCACUGCGGAUGAUGAACAAGGUUCUCUGUGCUCUGUUCUUUUUCCAGGCCAAUCAUCAUCUUCCUGGUCUCGUCCCUCGACUUCGCCGUCGACCAGCAUUGGGAUGGCAGUAUCAUCAGACGACGACGAUGAUGAUGGCUGAAGAGAUACAAAAGGGUGAUCUUGGUAUUCUCGUUGGGAUUGCUGAAAUAAAGAAGCGAACAUUGUGGAGUGGUGGUCUUGAAUUGAGAAGCAGAUAAGUCAAAGUUGGUUCUAGCCACGAGAAAGGGAGAAAGCAGGGGACAACGGCCGAAGUAUUUCUGUGGCCUCUGUCUUGCUCGGUUGUCAACACACUGACGGAGACGAGCUUGCUCUGUAAGUUUCAACACCUCAAACCUCAACAGGCUGAGGUUCAAU